UUGUCAAUUAAAAAAAGGAGUUGGCAAUCAAUUCGAACAAAAUUGCUAAACAGUUUGUAUGGAUAAAGUAAUAGAAAUUGAAGAAUUAGAAAAUCCGUGCUUUCUCAUCAACUAUUUCUUGGGCAUUUGAUAAAAAGAAAGUGAAAAUGUUAUCUAAGGCCUUGAUAGAUUUUAUUUUUUGCCUUUUUGAAAUGAUAGGUAGCUAGUUGUUUUGCUGUUUCAGUGUGCGUUAAUAUUUUAGUUAUUUAAAAUUGUAAGAAAGGUAAGAUUUCAAGGGUAGUUUUGGAAUUGUAAAAAGGCAUCGAUUCAUAAACACUAUAUUAGACAACAUACAUAGCAGACCUAGACCAAGAAACAGAACUAGUUGAACAACAGUUUCUUAAGCUAAAGUUUGUUUGAGACUCGUUUGUUCCACUCUUGUACAGCAAAAAAUGUUUGUUGGGAGGCCAUUUCACCACAGAUAGCGUAUAUUCAGACGUUAGAUGUGCUAGACCAAAGGAGAUCUAGACGGGAUUUUUUUUUUGUUGUACGAAGAAUGAUGGUGAGUAGAGACAAACAGCUGUUUUCUAUCCGUAAAAAACUAUUUAAUGAAGCCGAAGAAACUAACAUAACGCGACAAGUUAAAAAUGUUAUAAAAGACCUAAAUGAUAAGGAGGAGACAGUAACGGCACAAAGUCAAAAUAUAUUUGAAGAAUGAGGGGAUGAAAGCUGCAUAACAGGAAUACGGAGAAGCAUGAAACACCUCAAUUGACAGUGUGAAAUUAUUUCCAGGGGUUUGAAUGCAGAAAAACAAAAUGAGAGACACAACAUCAUUAGAAAUGUAUUUGUUCGUGAAGUACAUUAGUCUUAAGUCAUGAAAUAAAAAAAUACUGUAAAGAAAAGGAGGAAUGUAGUGUCCACACUACUACAAAUAAUAAUAUCUUGAGUGAAUACAUCUUAGAGUGCAUGCUGUCACUCAUGCGUAGGUAAACAAUACACAAAUAAAUAUGCUCAGUUCUAUUCAGACCAACGCCGCGUGUACACGUCUCUCUUGUGAUGCAUCCGAAGACCACUUUCCGACAUUACACUCCUGACAAAAUGGAUUGAGAAAUAUUCAAUAGAAAUUUAUAAAGAAAUUGACUAAAAAUUUGUCCGGGGUUUCCGUUAAAAAUUGAAAAGACAUUUAAUAGAAAAUUUUACUGGAAAUUGAAGGAGCUUAUCAUAAAAUUUCCUCUAAAGUUUCUUUAGUAUUUUUUAUUAGAAUAUUCUCUUGUAUGCCAGAGUAAUGUGGUAAAUUAUUUUGAAAGGUCUUCAAAACCUUUCCUUAUAGUCGCGUUAGAACAAGUUUUUGUUAAGUGUUCAUUCUACAGGUAUGUUCCGUUUUUAUCAACACGGUCCGCGAUUUUCAGUUGACAAAAACGGAAUAGUGAUAAAAACGGAAUAAUUUUCUUUGACAAAAUAUUUUGCAACAUUUCUAUAUGAAUUGGAAGAUUUACUGUAGAACACAUUCCAAAAUCAAAAAUACGCAGUUUAUUAUGAAAUUUAAUUAUUUUUUGUUGCUUUUAGCACAUCUUGCACAGUUCAAAUUACAUUUUUGUGACUGAGACGUCAACAAGAGGUUUUCACUACAUUUUUGGAAAUUAAUUUUCGUUGAACUCAAGAAUGAUACAUAUUACAAUAUUUAGUAUCCAGAUCGACGUUUUAGAAUAUGACAUGCUUGCAGGAAUGAUUAAUCUCCAGGAACGUAAUUUCGAUAUCCUAACAAAAAAGGGUAUGUUUUUAUUUUUUUUCCGGAAGGCAUUUCUCCACGAUUAUCAUCUUAACAGAUUCCUAUGAAAGUUUCGUCUAGCAUAGUUUUAGGAAAUCUCCAGUAACUUUUCUAAGUAAUCAAUUGUAUUUUCUCCAAAAUAUUGGAUUCUCCAAGAAGUUCCUCCAGAAUACUUCUAGGUUACCUUGCACCAUGCCGCUUGUUUGGAAUUAAAAAAAAAAUAGAGAAAAGAGGUUCUGCCCCUUAUGUUUUUUUCAGAAAUUUCUUCUCGGAUCAACCUAGAUGUCUCUUUUCAUAUUUCUCCUGGAGUUCCUUUGGGGGAUCCUUCAAAUAUUCCACCAGGAAUUGGAAUUUAUUAACCAUGCAUAUGCAUUAUGUUGGGAACAGCUCGCUGACGUAAUGUACGGUUUGGGUCUGGAAUGGCUCUAAUACACAAGGUGGGCUGAGAAAAUCAUUCUGGGAUUUCUCCUAGGCCCUAGACAUCCUGUUGAAAUUCAUCCAAGAGUUGCUUUGGAGAUUCACCCAGAUUUUACUUUUGUAAUAUGGGAGUUUCUUCGUUUUUUUCAAAAUUUCCUAAGGGAAUUCUACCAAGAUUACUUUCUGAAAUCCCUCCAAAACUUUUUUCUGAUAUUUCUCCAGGAGUUCUUUUUAGGGUUUCUCCAGAUUUUCGUUUUGGGAUUCCUCCACCAGUUUUUUAGAAUUUCUUCAAAAGCUCUUUCUUGAAUUCUUUAAAGAUUUUCUUAUGAUAUUUUUGACUUUGUUUUGGAAUUUAUGCGCAGUACAAAAAUCUACACCUACUGGAAUUAUUAUUAUGAAUAGUUCUAAUAGAUUUUUUAAGAGAAUUCUAUCUUUCACUUUUUGUUAUUUCCCAAUGAUUACUAGAUGAACUACCCUUAGGCUGGAAAUCUCGUUAAUAAAAAUAAUAUAACAAUGAUAACUGUCCCCGAUUUCUUUCUGCGUUUCCUGGUGAUCUCCCAGAAGCUUAGUCUAUUAAUCUUCCAAGAAUUAUUUCCUCAAAUCCUCCAGAAGUUUCUUCAGGGAGUCCUCCUGAUAUUCUGUAUAGAAAUCUCCGGAGAGUUAUUCCUGAGAAUCCUCCAGAAGUCCCUUGCGGGAAUCCUUCAGAAAUUCCUUCUAGGAAUCCUGCAUAAAUUCUUUCAAGAAAUCAUUCAAUUGUUCUUUGAGGGUUUACUUUCAGAAUUGAUGGGAUUUCUGUAGGAUUUUUUGGGAAUCUUUAGAUACUUCUUGGACCCCUUCAGGAGUUGCUGGAGGAAUCCCCAGAUCGUUUUCCAAGAUCCUAGACUCCUUUUUCUUAGAGAAACUUAUUUCUGAAAGACUUAACUCCUAAUUCACCUAAAGGAAUUUCUGAAUUAUUUCCUGACGAAUUCUCAGAAGAAAUCCAUUAAGGAAUCUGGAGGAAUACAAGAAUCACUAGUAGGAAUUACUGAAGAAGACCAAGAUUGCAUUUUUGGAGCAAACGAAAGAUGAAAUCUCGGAUACAAUUCUAUAGGAAUCUCCAGUUAGGCUGGUGAAUAUAGCUGUUUCGGUCUGGAAAAUUUGGACAGGGUAUCAAGGAUGUCCCGUCGGAAGGAAAUAGUGACCAGGAGAUAAGAAUUCAGCAUAAUUGUCGCAUAAUUUCAAAAAAAUCGUGUAAAAAAUCACGAGAAUUUGGUACGUAAAGAAGAAGAAGAAGAAGAAGAAGAAGAAAGGAGAAGAAGGAUCUUCUAAAGGAAGUUCUUGAAGGAAUACCCAGAUGGACAUCCUGGAGCAAUCCACCAAUUGUGUCCUAAAACAAUAGGCUAAUGACAUAAAAAAAAAAUGUUCGAUUACCCAUGAUGACUUUUUCCUAUUGCCGGAUAAUCGAAUCCGUCCUUUGAUGGUUUUAUAUGCACAUCCCAUCUAUUAUUGAUCUAUCAUGAUUAGCUACUUAUGUUACACUUGGAAAAUGAUUGAGCCAUUUUACAAAACGAUAAAAUUGUUGAUGAUCAUAUUAUUGAUAUUCACGUGUUACCUCCUGCCACCUCCUGUUAGAUUUUCUUUAAUUAAAUAGACCAUUCCCGUGAAAUUUUUUUAUGUGCUCUACGGCUUUCUGUCAAUUUAUUGAGCAAACUUUUCCAAGGAACCCAUAUGUUUUGAAGCCUCUAACUAUUGAAAAACAAUGAAAAACCUGCGAAGUAGCACUUUUCCCCUUUUUCUCCUAUUUAUUAUUUCACCCCAAUUUCCAUCAAACCCCUUUCUCCGCUAUGGCUCGACCGCAGUGAUGUGGUGAGUUUCUGCUCAGCGAACUGUCAACGCGACUGUCAAACGAUUGAUUUGUUUUGGUUUGCUAUUUCGUCGGUGUGUCGCGGGCAAGUUUUUGUAAAUCGGUUCCGAAAACUCGAAAUCGCAGUAAAAUCGAAUGGUCCCGCGGAUUCCUCAACGCGAAAAGUUUAAUCAUAGUAAUGACUGAACGUCGACUCUGAACUCUCGGGCCAUGGAAGUAUUUUGCAGCGUGUGCAUGUUAGUGAAAAAAACUAAACGGUAGCUAGUGGAUGAGAAGCAACUAGAAAAGGAUCUUCGGAGGCAGUUAGAUUUAUUCGACGAACUCUCUAUUCCGGAAGUACCAGUACUCGGUGGUACAGGUUGCGUUAAUCCGAAAAACGGUGGUGCUUUUGUCAGCUGUGUUGGGGCGUCAUUGCCGUGAUGACGAUGUAAACAUGUUGGGAAAAGUUUUUCGCUGAUCCGCUGAUUCGUGUUCAGGAAAUAAAAACGGCAUCCUGCACCAACAGAACAUGCUAUAGUACGGGUCGCCUUUUUUUUUAAGUAGAAUCGGUAUUACCGUUGACCGCCAAUCCGGUUUCAGUGCGUGAUCCGGACACUUCAGUGUGUAGAAACUGUGCCGCAGUAGCGACAAGUUCCGGAAACCUGCGAAAGCUUCAGCUGAUCAACUUUUUGUAUACCGUAAGCCCCGAGGAGUAAACUAGAACAGAAAAAUGACAAGGAAACAAUCCUGGAAGAAAUCGACUGUGUUGUGGCACAGUAGUUGACAGAUGUCCUACGCGACGCCUCAGGUGGUCCUCCUGACGAAUAUCAAACCACUGGAAAAGAACUUUACGAUCUGUUAUUCCGGAACCGAUGGAUCUGUCAUCCAGAACGCCCUUCGCAGGAAGAAGCUACAGUAUUAACGAAAAAUAAUCAUCGACAAGACAAUCGAAUGGUGGAAACGGUUCCUAUUGGUGCUGCCGCCUAAAGUAGUCCUUAGCUGCCAACCGAAUCUAAACAAGAGCACUGAACAGCAAUGCAACACCCCACCGCAGAUCUAUAUUGUGAUGCUUUGUUGUGAUGAACCGGUUGAGCACGAACCUUCUGAUCGACAUGAAUUGGAGCAUGGAUCCAUGCCCUUCCCUCCCUAUCCUUCCGGCUUGGCUACCUUCAGGAUGCAGGUACUUUACAUGGCAGCUUGCACGUGGUUCACCCUUCGCAGUCACACACCGCCAAACAUCAUCGGACACGGUUAUACUGUAAUUGGUCUUUGUCUUUUCAAGCCAUGAUCGACCACAGUUAGCCCAGCUCAGUGAGGAAAUAUGAUAGGACCGGGGUAAGAAUAGCACCCCUCAGUUUUAUUACUUAUUUACCUAUAAUAGGUACAAUGCAUUUUGUCUAAACAACUUCACAAUCAUUUAAAAUAAAGAAUCUACGGUGCGGGAAAUAAAUAUAAAGACAGAGCCGAUUUCCAUACAAAAUAAUCAUGGUGAGGGAUCCAAAUCUCGGUUUCUAGCGAUUCGAUUGUGAUGAAAUUUUGCCUGCAACCUUAAAAUAAUUCUAGCUUGUAAUAUAAAUCAUCAUCCAUGUAAGUAAA